GGNNGUNUAGNUNNCGGCUGUACCAUGCAGUCGAACGCCCCGGCGGGGAGUGGCNGACGGGUGAGUGACGCGUGGGAAUUACCCUUUCCUGCGGAAUAGCUCCGGGAAACUGGAAUUAAUACCGCAUACGCCCUACGGGGGAAAGAUUUAUCGGGGAAGGAUUGGCCCGCGUUGGAUUAUCUAGUUGGUGGGGUAAAGGCCUACCAAGGCGACUAUCCAUAGCUGGUCUGAGAGGAUGAUCAGCCACAUUGGGACUGAGACACGGCCCAAACUCCUACGGGAGGCACCNAUGGGGAAUAUUGGACAAUGGGCGCAAGCCUGAUCCAGCCAUGCCGCGUGAGUGAUGAAGGCCUUAGGGUUGUAAAGCUCUUUCACCGAUGAAGAUAAUGACGGUAGUCGGAGAAGAAGCCCCGGCUAACUUCGUGCCAGCAGCCGCGGUAAUACGAAGGGGGCUAGCGUUGUUCGGAAUUACUGGGCGUAAAGCGCACGUAGGCGGAUAUUUAAGUCAGGGGUGAAAUCCCGCAGCUCAACUGCGGAACUGCCUUUGAUACUGGGUAUCUUGAGUAUGGAAGAGGUAAGUGGAAUUCCUGGUGUAGCGGUGGCGGUAGGGGANAUUGGAGUUCCUGGUGUU
rnacentral:rRNA from 1 species